GGGAUGGUGUUUCGUUUAGGGAGAGCCCCGGACUUCCCGCGGUAAAUCAAGAGGGAAAAGGGGGACGGGGAGCACCAGGCACAGCUUGUGUCUGAGCAGAGGAACUGGGGAAGGAAAGCGCUGGUUUUCAAGCUGCAGUUUCACAAAAUGAAUCAGGAUCAGGCUCUUCCCCGACGUCUCUGCUCAUGGUGGCCCUCACCCCUUCACGCGUGCCUAUAGGACUGCGUGAGCCCUGGAGUCAACCUGGAUUUAAUGCAGUAAACCAACAGACCGCUGGAAAAGGAGAGGCAAAUGGAAGCGGUUGCUGGCACUGUGCUUCUGCCACCAACUGUACCCAACUCAGAGCCACCACCACCCCACCGUAGUCCCCACGUAGCUCACGGGCACGAUGUCUCCUUGCGGCCUUAAGCAUCCCUUGGUUUCGCUUUCCCCUUGGGCUCCACUCAACCCUUGUAGGGUCCAUGAGCCCGCAGGGAGCCUCCUUUCGUCAGCCGCCUCUAUCAGCACACUGCUGUGCCCCAAAACCACCAUCAGUGCCCAUCCCUUAAAACAAGCACCCUUCCACCAUGCAGCAAAGCAGCCAUCUCCAAACGAAGGCGAGUUUUCACGCUGCUUCACCUUAUUAUUCGGGGCACAUGGAUGGUUUUUGCAUGGGUUGUGCCUAUGGCUGCCCUGCUCCCAGCUAGGGGUGCUUCCAGAUCCCCACCGCCAGCAGUGCCUGCGAAGCCAUGCAUGAGGUUCCAGCAUUGGUGCAAACCAAUGGAGUUGAACCCUCCCCAAAAAACCACUCAUGCAAAAUACACUCAGAAAAAGCAAAUCCCUGUUGAAUUAGGGCACAGCAUCACACCUGCCUGGAAAAGCUCUUUGUUUGGUGGGCUUUUGAUUUUUUUUUUCCUUUUUUGCAGCCUCUUUAAAAGCACUUUUCUCGUUUUGCUCUUCCCAUCUUAUCUUUUGCUGUUCUUUUCUGAGUGGUUCCCUGUCUUUUAGGGAUGAGCUCCUUCAGCUAGAGCUCAUUUUUUAUCAGAAAAGCCAGUUCAUGCCAAGAAUUUCUUUCUCUAAAUUUUUUUCCUGGCAUUUUGCACUUCCCACAUGGUCUCUACCUGUUUUCUGAUUUUAAUUUAAAUGGGUGCUCAUGUGGGCAAAGGGCAAAAUCCUGUGGUGAGGCGGCAAAUGCAAUAUAUUAUUUAAAGAACAUUUUAACUCCUUUUUCAUUUUCAGUGUUUUAGAUCUCCCUUCCAGCUAAACUCAUUUCCUCUGAAUGGAAUCUGCAGAAGGGGACUCUGAAUCAAGUAAAAUCAGUAGAGAAGUUGAUGGUUCGCCACAUUGCUUUUGUUUUGGAAAGCCAGAUUUAAGGGCAAAGAGCUCAUUGGCAGUGUGUUAGAUUUGAGGUGCCCCUUACCCACCCCGUGUUCUGCAGGAUGACGUUUCCCACCAGAGGGAAAGAAGGCAAAAAUGGGGGGAAAAAAGGAAUACUGGAGGCAAUUAUUGAGUGCCCAGUCCUCAGCCAGGGAGCACUGCCCCAGCCCCAAAGCAGGGAUGAGUUCUGCAUAAUCUCGUUUUCAGGACCUGCUAGUUUCCAAGGAGACGGGGGACAAUUACAGCCAAAAGCUGGAUUUAGGGACUCACAGCACAGCUUCCCCAGUGGGUGCACAGGGAACCCCAAAAGGCCCCGCUCAGCCCCAGCACCGCCCUUACCUGGGGCUUGUGGGGAGGAGCUGAAGUGAUGGUGGAGGAUUUGGGAGGCUUGGGGUUGGAUUUGGGGUUUGGAGGGCUGGAUAUGAUUGCAGCUUGGGUUUGGCUUUGGUCUAGGUCCUGGGCCCCAUCCAGUUUUAGGGGAUGAGAGGAGACAUCAGAGGAGCCUUCGCCCUUGCUCCCUUCUUCCACUCCCAUUUCCCAAGGAAAGUGGAUUUAAGCCCCAGGCCCCUUGGGCCAUGCAGGGGUGCCAAAGAGGCAGACUCAGGAGGGAACACCCCAUGGUCAUCGCAGGGCCAUGGCCUCCCUUAGCUCCUGUUGGGGGCUGUAAGUUCGGGAGGGGGGCACCUCCCACACGCCCUGCAUAGGCAUGCAUGGAACAUAUCUGUAAACGCAUAUAGCAUGAGUGCUCUUCUCAA
ensembl:lncRNA